rnacentral:sRNA from 17 species
AUAGAACUGCGUUAAGGAUUGUAACGGCAUCCUUUUGCGAUGGAGCAAAAGAUAUAGUGAAAAGCCUGACCCGAU